GAUGAACGCUGGCUACAGGCUUAACACAUGCAGGUCGAGGGGAAACGACGGGGAAGCUUGCUUCCCCGGGCGUCGACCGGCGCACGGGUGAGUAACGCGUAUCCAACCUGCCUCUGACUGAGGGAUAACCCGUCGAAAGUCGGCCUAAUACCUCAUGGUAUCGUCUGCGGGCAUCCAACGACGAUUAAAGAUUUCAUCGGUCAGGGAUGGGGAUGCGUCUGAUUAGCUUGUUGGCGGGGUAACGGCCCACCAAGGCUACGAUCAGUAGGGGUUCUGAGAGGAAGGUCCCCCACAUUGGAACGGAGACACGGUCCAAACUCCUACGGGAGGCAGCAGUGAGGAAUAGUGGUCAAUGGGCGAGAGCCUGAACCAGCCAAGUAGCGUGCAGGAAGACGGCCCUAUGGGUUGUAAACUGCUUUUAUGCGGGGAUAAAGUGAGGGACGUGUCCCUCAUUGCAGGUACCGCAUGAAUAAGGACCGGCUAAUUCCGUG
rnacentral:rRNA from 1 species